rnacentral:tRNA from 2 species
GCAGUCGUAGUAUAGUUUGGUUAUUAUGCGAGCUUGCCAAGUUCGCGGCCCGGGUUCAAAUCCCGGCGACUGCACCA